CUUGUCUGGGAGCCAGAGGAGGCAGUGGUCUUAAACACCAGCGAGGAGGGAUACAGUGGGGACCCUUGGGUUGUCCUCUCUCUGCACUCUGCUCUUGCACCUGGCUCUGACUGUGCCCUUCUCUGGCCCCACUUGUGGGCUGAGAUAUCAUGAGAUUCCAACAUCCUUUCCCACCCAGGCUCCUGCGCUGACAUUCCAUCUCUAACUUUUUGCUGGUUGUGAAUGUACGAGGUCCAUAUUCCCCAUGUCAUCAAACAUGAACAGUUUGCCAGAUUCUAAUUCAAGUCCCACUACUUUCAUGAAGCCCUCCUCACCUGCUUUAGCCUGUGAGACUCCUGGAAUCCUUCUAACAGCUCUCAUCCCUGAAUGCCCGGAUGACCUUUUCUGAUUAUAAAAAUAUUGCAGGAUGAGUAAGGAAAAUUUGAAAGAGAAGGAAAUAUAUCACCUCAAUUCUUCUUUGCAGAGAACAUUAUACUUGGCAUCUUGUGAAUUUUUUAUAUGGACUUAAAAAAGCAGAACUGAUGUAAUAAUGCAUAUAAAAUUUUAUAUCUUAUUUCUCCUGCUUAAUGUUAUAUAAUUACUAUUUCUCCAAG
rnacentral:lncRNA from 10 species